rnacentral:RNase_P_RNA from 1 species
AGAGGCAGCCGGAUGGUCGCCGGCCCGCGCGAGCGGGCGGGAGGAAAGUCCGGGCUCCACAGGGCAGGGUGCUGGGUAACGCCCAGGGGGGGCGACCCCACGGACAGUGCCACAGAGAGCAGACCGCCUCGGGCCCUUCGGGGCUCGAGGUAAGGGUGAAACGGUGAGGUAAGAGCUCACCAGCAGCCCGGGUGACCGGGCUGUCAGGCCGCUGGAGGGGUCGGGUAACCGGCCUCCUAGAGGAAUGACCAUCGCCCCGGGCCGGGACACCGCCCGGGGAACAGAACCCGGCUUACAGGCUGCCUCUGGUG